rnacentral:rRNA from 1 species
GAUCAUUAUUGAAUGAACUUGGUGUGGUUGUUGCUGGCCCCUUGGGGCAUGUGCACAUCCCACCAUCCUCAUCUCUCCACCUGUGCACCUCUUGUAGACUUGGUCUACGUUUUUUCAUAUACCCCAUAGCAUGUAACAGAAUGUAUCAUAUUAGGCGCUUGUGCCUUAUAAACCUUAUACAACUUUCAGCAACGGAUCUCUUGGCUCUCGCAUCGAUGAAGAACGCAGCGAAAUGCGAUAAGUAAUGUGAAUUGCAGAAUUCAGUGAAUCAUCGAAUCUUUGAACGCACCUUGCGCUCCUUGGUAUUCCGAGGAGCAUGCCUGUUUGAGUGUCAUUAAAUUCUCAACCUUAUCGGUUGGAUGUGGGGGUUUGCUGGCUCAGGUCAGCUCCCCUUAAAUGCAUUAGCUGGUGCCCCGUGUGGACUGUCUAUUGGCGUGAUAAUUAUCUACGCCGUGGAUGAGCACUGCUUCCAACACCACAAUUACAUGACAAUUUGACCUCAAAUCAGGUAGGACUACCCGCUGAACUUAA